rnacentral:antisense_RNA from 3 species
UUUUAUGGCGGUUGUGCGUGGGAGAUUUUUCCGCAAGGAGGAAUCUGCCGGGGUUCCGUCUGCCCGGUCUUGCACACCUACGUACAACUGCCACCUCA